rnacentral:rRNA from 1 species
UACGUAGGGGGCGAGCGUUAUCCGGAAUUAUUGGGCGUAAAGAGUGCGUAGGCGGUAAAUUAAGUCUAAGGUUAAAGUGCAGGGCUCAACCCUGUGAUGCCUUAGAAACUGGUUUACUUGAGUUUGGUAGAGGUAAGUGGAACUCCAUGUGUAGCGGUAAAAUGCGUAAAUAUAUGGAAGAACACCAGUGGCGAAGGCGGCUUACUGGGCCACAACUGACGCUGAGGCACGAAAGCGUGGGGAGCAAACAGGAUUAGAUACCCUGGUAGUCCACGCUGUAAACGAUGAAUACUAAGUGUUGGAAAAAUCCAGUGCUGAAGUUAACGCAUUAAGUAUUCCGCCUGAGUAGUACGUACGCAAGUAUGAAACUCAAAUGAAUUGACGGGG